UAUGGAAAGCAUUGUCAGUGCACUGUGAAUGUCCUGAAAUCAAUAUAAAAAUGUAACACAAUCUAAAUGCAAUGGUUUUAUACAAGUUUACUUAAUAUUGCAGAUAGAAUUUAUGUAAUUGACAUUUAAAUACAAUAGUCAUUUCCCUAGUACAAAUGUGCUUUUUAUGCGACAUGAUUGUUUCUACUUUUAUCUUUUAGAACUGUUUCACCAGCUAUCCAUCCUGUGUCAGAGAGACUCACCAGAUAUUCGAGAUUCUUCACUGCACUUUGCAUCUUGGUUUCUUGUGAAAAAUAAAACAACUACUUCUGUUGUUUUAUUUUUCAGUGUUCUCCAUUCUUACAGGGGAUUACGUUUCUUUUGUUUUAAUAAA